CCAAGCCCACCGGGAAGCCGUGACCACCUCCGCGCUGUGUUCUCUGAGCGCCAGGGACUGUGCCAAGGCCUUUGGAAAAUACCUGCAGUCCCACGAGAGGACAGACGUCAUCCUCGUGGCCAUUGAGGCAUUGGGCGAUGCCAGCAUCCUCGACCAGCAGGUGCCCAGCAGCCUGCUGGAUGUGGCCUUGGAGGACCCGGACGUCUGGCUGACGGACGCGCCCAAGAUAGUCAGCUGC